UUCUAUGACGUUAGCGGCGGACGGGUGAGUAACACGUGGGCAACCUGCCUGUAAGACUGGGAUAACUUCGGGAAACCGAAGCUAAUACCGGAUAGGAUCUUCUCCUUCAUGGGAGAUGAUUGAAAGAUGGUUUCGGCUAUCACUUACAGAUGGGCCCGCGGUGCAUUAGCUAGUUGGUGAGGUAACGGCUCACCAAGGCAACGAUGCAUAGCCGACCUGAGAGGGUGAUCGGCCACACUGGGACUGAGACACGGCCCAGACUCCUACGGGAGGCAGCAGUAGGGAAUCUUCCGCAAUGGACGAAAGUCUGACGGAGCAACGCCGCGUGAGUGAUGAAGGCUUUCGGGUCGUAAAACUCUGUUGUUAGGGAAGAACAAGUACGAGAGUAACUGCUNGUACCUGACGGUA
rnacentral:rRNA from 1 species